UCCCAUUUUUAUUUGGACUUUUCUGUUGGUAAUUGUGAUCAUUGUUAUGUAAGUGUUCUUCACCUUAAGUUAAAGUACACUUAUUUAGAUUUGUUCAUUGUAAUUUUUGAGAGAAAGCAAGUUCGAAGGUUUCCAAACUGAGCCGUUCCCUUUUUAUCAUUGUUUGCCGUAUAUCACUUUUGAUAGAGGUUUUGAAUAAUGCUUAUGUAUUUAAAUGAACUUCAGGCUGACAUUAAUAUUGCCACUUUUUUAGAAUGUAACGAUAGGAACAUUUUUAUACCAUCAUGGUUAUUGUGACCAAAAUUAUCACAAUUAUUAUCACACUAUUGUUCAUUGUGCUAUAAAAGUAUUUACACAACACUUACCGUAAAUCUAGUCUACCCUAACAAUUCUGACUCAAUACGCGAUAUGAGUCCAACCGAUUUUCGCAAUAUUUUUUGAAUAUAUAAAACCUUUUCAAAACUUUCCUUGGCUGCUGAUGUAUGAUGUAUACGUGCAGCACGUAAGCAGGACGAUGGCCAAAAAACAUCUUAAAAAUUGAUUAUUAAAGAUAGAUUCUUGAAAAUUAUGAAUGUAUUUAUAAUCUGAAUAAUUAAGAAUUGCUAUUCAGAUGUGAAUCUAUUUUUUCAUGUGCUUUGUAUUCAAUCUUGCAUGUAAGCUAGUUAGCGAUUAGUGUACGAGCUACUUCUCCAGAAAAUGAGCAGCACCACUGUAAACAUUUUUCAAAGUGUGGUUUUAUUAUAAAUACAGUUAGAAAUGGUAACACUAAUCAUCAAGAAUAGGACCGCUGUUGCAUUCCUUUUCAUAGCUUUAAGAUAACUUAGCAGUUAUUCAUACACUCUGUAGUUAACAUCCUGACUUGCAACUUCAAUUCUUCUGGCUGCUUAGUUCAUUUUCCUUGUCUUAGGCGGAUGUAGGUAGAUUCCUCUUGACCUCCUAAAAGUGUUUAGUGGACAUGGAGCCAGUUAGCUUAAGAUUACGCGACCUCUCCUUGGCCGUCAUUCUGCUGGCAGCUUGCCAGAGAUAAUUAAAGGUUUAGACAGGCGUUUACUGUUAAGUGAAACGUGAACGUUUAUUCUGGAGUUUAAUGACGUAUGCACUUGGCUUCCUCUUACUGCCGGUUUGAGCACCCAAUAAGCGUGUGUGUGUGUGUGUGUGGUUAUUGGUCCACAUAUGCCAAUCGAGUAAUAGGGGACAAUUCCUGGGUGCUACUAUUUGGUGAAGUACUUCAGUCUUUUCCAUGUUGAUAGUUAGACCCAGUUGUUUGACUGAUUUCAUCAACACUGUAGGUCUUCUUUCAAGAGGUCGUAUUGUGUAAAUAUGGUGGUGAUUCAACCUUUUGGCCCAAAUCUGUUGUGGAGACAUUGCCUGAUGGUUUUGAACAUAAUUUCCACUUCUGGAGUUCGAUGUAUAGUCUUGGUGUAGUGACUCCAGUGUCUACCCUGAAAGGCUCUGUUUCAUCUCCACUGCUAUUGAGUACUGUGGUAGACAUGUUGUCAUGCAGCAGUUGCAGGGCACAAAUAUACUUUCCCGGGCAGCUUUCCCAGAAUUAGUCCGAAGGCUUGACGGUUCCCUGUGUCAAAAAGCUUUGUUGAGGCCUUUAAAAGCCUUGUACUGUGGUUGACUUUUCUGACAUUUUUCUUCCAAUUUGCAAGCAGUAUAAAACAUGUCUGUCAUGCCUCAGGGCAGAAUCCUCAGGUACUCGGUAAAAAUACUUUCUUACAGGGAGGUUAGCAUGUUAACUGAAAAUACAGCUAACCCUUGCUUUGUGGUGAAUAGAAGGGAUGCUUCACUUAUUCCAAUAUUGUGCCUAGCCUUUAAAGAUGCGCAUCCCUGAGUCGUGCGGAACAUGUUCCUUCUUUCCAGGGUUUGAGAAUUAAGCAGUGGCGUACAGUGCUCUUACAGCAUCUACAAAACUGCUUGUUUCUACAAAAUUAGUGAAAUGCUAGGUCUCAGAGCCUUCUUCGAACACGACAGGUUCUCCAGUUUCCUACAAUCCUUGGCAUAGAAUAUUUAUUCUUUUAACCUUACAUUGUAUGUUGUUUGUUCAGGUGAUAAAAGUUUGAACAGUUUUUAGAAUAUUCCAAUGUCGUUUGAAUUCUGUUUUGGCAGUUCUGCACUAAGAACCGUGUGGAGCUGGUGUUGGUAGGUUGUCUGACUCAGUCGCUCUGUUUUUUCCCCGACAUGACUGAGCUAAUUAAAAUGUCAAAACUUGAGUUCACAUUUGAAUCUUUAUUUUGUAAAAAUAUUUUCGAAAACAAAUCUGAUGCGCUGUCUGUUGGUUUUAAUUAGGCACUGCCAUGGCAGCUUCUAAUGCAGAUUUGCAUUUGUACGUAUAUAAUUCAAGCUAGGUCGUUAAAAACAUGUUUUCUUUACCGAGUUAGACAAUUAAUUUUAUGUUUAAACACAGCAUUUUUUCACUCCCAUUAUUCAAGCCCCGUUGUAAUCUAUAUUUUUAAAGCUAUAAAUGAAUAAGUUUAUGAACUAACAGUAGUUUGUAAUGAACCAACAAACUACUUGCACCCACCAUUUACUUGAAUUGGUAACCUACUGAAAAUCUGUACAUUUUGCAAAUGUAAUUUGUAGUUUUGAUUACAACUGUACAGAUAUACAGUAGGUAUUAUUUUCCGACAAUGCAGGUGGUUUCUUCUGUCAAGGUAACCUCUGGGGCCCAAAUAACUUCUUUAUACUGUGUGCAUAUAUAUCUGUAAGUAGCUACAUGUCAAUUUUGACAUAAAAGUUGUAUUUAUUGACUAAUUAGUAAUUACUGGUAAUAUAUGCUGAUUUCAGGUCACAGAUCAUGUAGUGGUUCACUUGCCUGACUCAUGCAGACCGUGUAGGUUCAGUGCUCACUGAAUCUUGAGUGUUCCUGGUUGUCUGUAUGUGCUCUGUGGUUAACUGGAUAGAUAUCAUGUCAUCUAUGUAUAGUUUUAGUGAAUAUGUGAGUUAAGUUACCAGUCAUAGCUCUUGGGACAGGAUUGUAGUCUGCUGUAUGAAUUGAAUUGAAGGUGUGUCUGUGUCAUUGUUCAUUUUCAGUAGUUGAUUUCCAGGUGAGGUUGGAUUUGGAUUUGGCGAAUGCAUGCUGACAGCAGACUCGAACCUGAUGCACCAAAUUUAAGGCACGUCUGUCACAUCUAUUAGUAUUUUUAAGUGCUUUAGCAGCAUUUAACUCCUUCACUGUACAUGGAAGUGCAGCCCGGGAGCGUCUAAAGACCUUCUAAUAAGGCAGACUGGCUGAUAUGCUCCUUAUCUCACUGCGAAACAUGAUCCUCUCAGUAACCUUUUAAGCUUUAAUCUGCAAGAAUAACAUGACACCAAACACAGCACACACCAUCCCCACUGGGCUCAAACAACUGACAUAAAGGAGUCCUCUGUGUUGAAUUGAUUACUGGAGCUUAUUCUCUCCAAAGUCUCCCCUACGCCCUUGCACACACAGACCAUUUUCUUGACACGACUAAUAUGCAGACAUUUUUUUUCCUGAAGCUUUUUGAUUGAAAAGCAGGAAGGGAAUGACAUUAUUUCAGUUAGCAGUGAGAUGAGCUCAUGGAAAGCCAGGACGAACUAAAGUCAACCUCCUGGAAUUCCUGUUAUCUUUGUGAAAGAUGACUAGAGGGACAUAAAUGAGUGGAGCUUUGUCUUGAAGUCAUGCAUUCAAUCAUGUUUUCUCAUACAGUUGUCACCUCUAGUAGGGCCCUUGACGCUUUGCAACCAUUUCUGAGUGUUUUUGAUCAAAUUUGACAUGCAGUUAUUAGAUGUUUACUUUGGGUCACAUCUCUUAAGAGUACAGUAAAAAUCAGAUGUCUUAGUGCUGCCCAUUGGAUCAUUCUUCCAUAUCUAAAUAGCAGAAUAGGUUCUUCUGCCAAACGCAUUGUCAAAAGGAAGCAAACAAACUUCUUUUUUUUCACAAAGAUGAUUAGUUAUCAGUAGUGAUUCUGUAUGAGUAAACCUAUUUUUAAUUACUUUAUAGAUCACAGGUGUCCAGUCUUGUUCUACUUAGGACGUAUACCAAAAAAAUCAAAGGGCACGGGCCAAUUUUAUAUUAAUAAAUUUGUACAUAUAAAUAAAAAAGGACCCAUUAAUUUUUAAAGAUAGAAGUUCUGCGGUCCCUUCCAAGUUUACACAUUGGUUCCACUGUGUUGAGUUCUUUCUUGUCCUGAUGUGGGAUCAGAGCCAAAGAUGUUGUGGUUUAUACAGCCCGUUGAGGCAUUUUGAUUGACUUUUCUGCCAUAAGCCGUCUCCAAAUGCGUUUCAGUAAAUUCAGCAGUACAACCAACUUGUCUCACAACUGCAGACCAGGUGUAACCACACCAGCCCAGGACUUGAUCAUCCAGCAGGUGCACCUCCAUGAUCUUCUGAGACCAGCCACCCGGGCAGCUGUCGCAACAAUUGGCCUCGACUGGACUGCAGUACGUUGUUUUAACCGACUUGAGUGGGUGAACGCUCACAUUCGAUGGCAUCUGGCAUUGUAAAAAAACGUGUUCUUCAUGGAUGAAUCCCAAUUUUCACUGUUACGGGCAAAUGGCCGACAGCGUGUGUGGUGUCAUGUGGGAGAGUGGUUUGCAGAUGGCAACGUUGUGAAUCUAGUGCCCCAAGCAUGACAAUGCACACCCCCAUGUUGCAAGGAUCUGUAAACAAUUACUGGAGGCUGAAAACAUCCCGGUUCUUGAAUGGCCAGCAUACUCACCGGACAUGUCAUCCAUUGAGCAUUAUUUGGAUGCUGUGGAUCGACGUAUGCAACGGCGUUUUUUUAGUUCCUGACAAUAUCCAGCAACUUUGCAUGGCAAUUGAAGGUGAGUGGACCAACAUUCCACAGGCCACAAUCAACAACCUGAUCAACUCUAUGCAAAGGAGAUGUGUUGCACUGAAUGAGGCAAACGGUGGUCACACCAGAUACUGACUGCUUUUGAAGCAAAACUGCACAUUUCAGCGUGCCUUUUUUUUUUAUUGUGGGCGGCCUAAGGCACACCUAUGCAAUAAUCAUGCUGUUUGAACAGCAUCUUGAUAUGCCACGCUUGUGAGUUGGGAUGGAUUAUUUUGGCAAAUAAGAAGUGCUCAUGACAGAUUCAUGAACAUUUUUUGAUAAGAAUAGGUAUUUUGUGUAUUAAGUAAAUGUUUAAGAUCUGUCAGUUCAACUCAUGUAAAAUAGGAGCAAACGCAAGUGCUGUGUUCAUUUUUUUUUUCAGUAUAGUUGUUGGCCUUGUGAAAAUAAACAGGACACGUAAUCACACAGAGUUUCCAAAUAACCGAACAUGCAUGUUUUUUAGAAUGUAGGAGGAAGCCAUACUUUAGUGGGUUUUCUGCAAAACCUGUGAAGUUAGCACGUUGGGUAAAUCAUGAAUAAAAAACAGAAUACAAUGAUUUGCAAGUCCCUUUUAACCUAUAUUUAAUUGAAUGCACUGUAAGGACAAUACACUCAACGUCUGAACUGAGAAACGUUAUGUUCUGUAAAUAAUUAGCUAAUUUAGAAUAAAGCCUGCAACAUGUUUCAAAAAAGCUGGCACAACUGGCAAAAAAAAAAAAAGAAAGUUGAGGAACGCUCAUCAAACACUUAUUUGGAACCGGCUAAUUGGGAACAGGUGGGUGCCAUGAUUGGGUAUGAAAGCUGCUUCCGUGAAAUGCUCAGGCAUUCACAAACAAGGGUGGGGCGAGGGUCACCACUUUGUGAACAAAUGUCUGAGCAAAUUGUCCAACAGUUAAAGAACAACAUUUCUCAAGUUAUUGCGAGGAAUUUAGGGGUUUCAUCAUCAAAAGGUUCAGAGAAUCCGCAGAAACCGCCGCACGUUAGGGUUGAUAUUACGGACCUUCGGUUCUUCAGGUGGUACUGCAUCAAAAAGUGACAUCAGUGUGUAAAGGGUAUCACCACAUGAGUUCAGGAACACUUCAUAAAACCACUGUCAGUAACUACAGUUCGUCGCUACAUCUGCAAGUGAAAGUUAAAACUCUACCAUGCAAAGCGAAACCCAUUUGUCAACAAACGCCGCCGGCUUGGCUGGGCCCGAGCUCAUAUAAGAUGGACUGAUGCAAAGUGGAAAAGUGUUCUGUGGUCUGAAGAGUCCACAUUUAAAAACAUUUUUGGAAACUCUGGACUCCGGACCAAAGAGAAAAAGAACCAUCUGGACUGUUUUAGGCGGAAAGUUGAAAAGCCAGCAGCUGUGAUGGUAUGGGGGUGUAUUAGUACCCAAGGUAUGGGUAACUUACACAUCUGUGAAGGCACCAUCAAUGCUGAAAGGUACAUACAGGUUUUGAAGCAACAUAUGUUGUCAUCCAAGCAACGUCUUUUUAUGGAUGUCCCGGCUUAUUUUAGCAAGACAAUGCCAAGCCGCAUUCCGCACAUGUUACAACAGCGUGGCUUCGUAGAAAGAGACUAGACUGGCAUGCCUGUAGUCCAGACCUGUCUCCCAUUGAAAAUGUGUGAUUCAUAAUGAAGCCUAAAAUAACAGGAGAUUGUUCAACAACUUAAGCUGUACAUCAAGCAAGAAUGGGAAGAAAUUCCACCUAAAAAACUUCCAAAAUUGGUCUCCUCAGUUCCCAAACAUUUACAAAGUGUUGUUAAAAGGAAAGCCCAUGCAACAUAGUGGUAAAAAUGCCCCCCUGCGCCAACUUUUUUGCAACGUCUUGCUGCCAUUAAAUUCAAAGUUAAUAAUUAUUUGCAAAAAAACUAUAUUUCUCAGUUCAAACAUGAAAUAUCUUGUCUUUGCAGUCUAUUCAAUUGAAUGUAAGUUGAAAAGGAUUAGCAAAUCAUUGUAUUCUGUGUGGGCUUCCCGGUGGAAGAGAGGUUAGUGCGUCUGCCUCACAAUACAAAAGUCCUGAGCAGUCCUGAGUUCAAUCCCGGGCUGGGGAUCUUUCUGUGUGGAGUUCGCAUGUCCUCUGAGUGAAUGCGUUGGUUCCUUUCGGGUACUCUGGCUUCCUCCCACAUCCAAAGACACGCACCUGGGGAUAGGUUAAUUGGCAACACUAAAUUGGCCCGAGUGUGUGAAUGUUGUCUGUCUUUCUGUGUUGGCCCUGCGGUGAGGUGGAGACUUGUCCACGGUGUACAAUGCCUUCCGCCCGAUUGUAGCUGAGAUAGGCACCAGCGCCACUCCAAAGGGAAUAAACGGUAGAAAAUGGAUGGAUGGAUGUAUACUGUUUUUGUCAUUGACACAACGCGCCAACUUCACUGGUUUUGAGUUUUGUAUGAGUACUUUGGAAAAAAGAUGUUCAAACAGACAUUGGAACCUGUGUUUUGAGGCUAACACGCUAAGCACUAAGCCACCGUGCGCUCCGGAAACCGUCAUAUCGUAUUUGGAAAUAUUGUCCACAUUCCAUACUACCGGCAGCUGUGUAGUUUCGGCUACAAUCCCGUCAAAUGUCAGGGAAAGACAUCAGCAUGUCCCAAUAGGGAAACGUUGUAUAUCCUGCUAAUACUUCCUGUCUGUUGGUGACAAAACUACAUUUAUACAUUUCAGUCGGUGCCUACCUAAAGCAAAUGUAUUAAUCUGUGAUUUGGAUGAGUACUUCCAUUUGACAUGUACUGCUCUUAGAAAUCACGGGAGUGGCUUCGAUUUGGAGCAAGCAUCAUCACGCCACACCUGGAAAACAUAUUGAAUAAGUUGCAUUCCGCUCGCUUGUAUCGCUGAUUAAUGGUUUUGUGUGCAUUCCCAGAUGUGAAAUAUCGAUAUCAAUUUUUUUGUGAUGCUCCUGACUGUCUCACAUGAAAGCAAAGUGCGAGUAGAACCAAGCAAAGAAUUGUGGUGACAGGUGAUGAGUCCGUAAGGGGUAAACACUCACGCUUUGUGCUCAUUUUUCUAUUUGGCUACUUAAACUGCAGGGUUUCUACAAACCACAGAGCAGGACGUGUGUGACGGUGCAUCAGCGGAGCUCCUGUUUGGGCCUGGGCGUUAAGCAAAUGGGAUAAUCAGGCUUUAGAGAGCCGAGUGCUUGUUAGUGACGCAGAGCUUUACGCUGCCAAAUGCAGCAUGGCUGCGGCACACCUUGGAACAACAGGCCACAGGUGUCUGUAAGGAAGAAAACCUGCUGGUAACCUAAUUGCAUGACAGAGACAGUGUGUCUAGGCCCAACAUGGCCAAUAGGAGGCGAUGUUGCAAUAUGUGUGCAAUGUUUUUUUCAUGGGUUUCCAUUGAGGUCUGUCUACUAAAAUCAACUUUACUGUUGCAAAAAAGGAUAAAAACAAAACGUUAUGUAUAGGUGACAGUGCGUAUUAACCAUUUUUAAGAGUUUACCAAUUUUCGGGGCGGCAUAGCUCGGUUGGUAGAGUGGCCGUGCCAGCAACUUGAGGGUUGCAGGUUCGAUUCCCGCUUCCGCCAUCCUAGUCACUGCCGUUGUGUCUUUGGGCAAGACACUUUACCCACCUGCUCCCAGUGCCCCCCACACUGGUUUAAAUG